AGGGUGCAGGGCGGAUGCCUUGGCACUAGGAGCCGAUGAAGGACGUGAUAAGCUGCGAUAAGCUUCGGGGAGUUGCACGUAAACUUUGAUCCGAAGAUUUCCGAAUGAGGAAACUCACUUAGAGUAAUGUCUAAGUAUCAUUAAGUGAAUACAUAGCUUAAUGAGGGGAACUCAGGGAACUGAAACAUCUAAGUACCUGAAGGAAGAGAAAGAAAUUCGAUUCCGUAAGUAGCGGCGAGCGAACGCGGAUUAGCCCAAACCAAUAAAGUUUUCUUUAUUGGGGUUGCGGACAUAUCAUAACGAAGAGGUAUCGUAAUUGAAGAAGUUUGGAAAGACCCACCACAGAAGGUAAUAGUCCUGUAUGUUAAACGAGAAGACUUCAGAUAUGAUCCAGAGUACCACGGGACACGUGAAACCCUGUGGGAAGCAGGAGGGACCACCCUCCAAGGCUAAAUACUACCUAGUGACCGAUAGCGUAUAGUACCGUGAGGGAAAGGUGAAAAGAACCCCGGGAGGGGAGUGAAAUAGAACCUGAAACCCUGCACUUACAAGCUGUGGAAGCACAUUUCUUGUGUGACCGCGUACUUUUUGUAGAACGGGCCAACGAGUUACGUUAAGUAGCAAGGUUAAGCACUUAAGGUGUGGAGCCGUAGCGAAAGCGAGUUUUAACUGAGCGUUCAGUUACUUGACGUAGACCCGAAACCGGGCGACCUACCCAUGAGCAGGAUGAAGCGAAAGUAAAAUUUCGUGGAGGUCCGAACCCACGAGCGUUGAAAAGCUCGGGGAUGACUUGUGGGUAGCGGUGAAAUUCCAAUCGAGCCCGGAGAUAGCUGGUUCUCCCCGAAAUAGCUUUAGGGCUAGCCUCAAGGUGAGAGAUACGGAGGUAGAGCACUGAAUGUCCUAGGGGGUAUUGCACCUACCGAAGACUAUCAAACUCCGAAUGCCGUCAUCUUAUACUUGGGAGUCAGACUGUGGGUGAUAAGAUUCAUAGUCGAAAGGGCAACAGCCCAGAUCGUCAGCUAAGGUCCCUAAAUGUAAGUUAAGUGGUAAAGGAUGUGGGAUUGCACAGACAACCAGGAUGUUGGCUUAGAAGCAGCCACUCAUUCAAAGAGUGCGUAAUAGCUCACUGGUCGAGUGAUCCUGCGCCGAAGAUUUCCGGGGCUAAAACUUACUACCGAAGCUACGGCAUCAGUAAUGAUGGGUAGGGGAGCUUCCCAUAUGGGUUGAAGCAUGACCGUAAGGACAUGUGGACAGUAUGGGAGUGAGAAUGUUGGCAUGAGUAGCGAGAUGUGGGUGAGAAUCCCACAGGCCGUAAACCCAAGGUUUCCAGGGGAAGGUUCGUCCGCCCUGGGUUAGUCGGGACCUAAGCUGAGGCCGAAAGGCGUAGGUGAUGGACAACAGGUUGAUAUUCCUGUACUACCGAUAACCGUUUGAGAGAAGGGAUGACACAGUAGGAUAAGCUAAGCACACUGUUGGUUAUGUGUGCCCAAGCAUUGAGGCAGUCAAAGUAGGCAAAUCCGCUUUGAUAAUGCUGGGAUGUGAUGGGGAGCGAAAUUUAGUAGCGAAGUAGCUGAUUUCACACUGUCAAGAAAAGUCUCUAUCGAGGUUAAAGGUACCCGUACCGCAAACCGACACAGGUGGGUGAGGAGAGUAUCCUAAGGCCAGCGAGAGAACUGUUGUUAAGGAACUCGGCAAAAUGACCCCGUAACUUAGGGAUAAGGGGUGCCACCAUCAGGUGGCCGCAGAGAAUAGGCCCAAGCGACUGUUUACCAAAACAUAGGUUUCUGCUAAGUCGCAAGACGAUGUAUAGGAGCUGACGCCUGCCCGGUGCUGGAAGGUUAAGGGGAUCUGUUAGAGCAAUCGAAGCAGUGAACUUAAGCCCCAGUAAACGGCGGCCGUAACUAUAACGGUCCUAAGGUAGCGAAAUUCCUUGUCGGGUAAGUUCCGACCCGCACGAAAGGCGUAACGAUUUGGGCACUGUCUCAACAACAGACUCGGUGAAAUUGUAAUUCCGGUGAAGAUGCCGGAUACCUGCGACAGGACGGAAAGACCCCAUGGAGCUUUACUGUAGCUUGACAUUGG
rnacentral:rRNA from 1 species